rnacentral:rRNA from 1 species
AUUUAUUUUAUUAAUAAUUUUUUAAUUAUUAAAAGAUUUAAAAAAAUAAUUUAUUUUGAAUUUUGUUUUAGUUUUUAAUUUAAAAAAAUUUUUAGAUUUAUAGUUUAUUAGUAUUGUGAAAGAAAUUAUUUAAAUAUUUUAAAGAAUUAUAUUAGUACCUUUUGUAUCAGGGUUAAUUAAAAUUUUUAAUUUAUUUUUAAAUUCUCAAAAUUUAUAGAGUUAAUUUUAUUUUUAAGUUAUUAUAUUAAAAAUAUUUAUAAAAUAAUUUUAGUUUAGAAAUUUAAUUCGUUAUAAUAUAUUUAGUUAUUUAAGAUUUAAAUUUAAUUUAAAAUUUUAAAAGUUUUGUUAAUUUUUUUUAAUUUAAUUUUAAAUUUAAAUUAUUUUAGGGAUAAGCUUAAAAUUUUUAUAAAAUAAUUUUUUUAUUAAGUUAAUAAAUUUUAGGAUUAGAAAUUUUUAUUUUAAGUUUGUAAAAAUUUAUUAUUUAUUUAAUUUUUGAUUUAUUAUAAAUUUAUUUAUUUUAUUUAUUAAAUUUUAUAAAUUAAUUUUUUAUUUAUAGUAAUAAUGAUUGAAUUAGUAUAAUUGUUAUUUAUAAAUUAUGAAUUCGGCAAUUUUUAUUUUCAUCUGUUUAACAAAAACAUUGUAUUAAGUUUAAUUUAAUAUAGGAUCUGCUCAAUGAUUAUAAAUUAGAUAGCUGCAGUAUUUUGACUGUGCAAAGGUAGCAUAAUAAUUAGUCUUUUAAUUGAGGACUAGAAUGAAAGAUUUGAUGAGAAAUAAACUUUAUUAUUUAUAUUAUUAAAAUUUUAUUUUUAAGUAAAAAAGCUUAAAUUUUUUUAAGGGACGAUAAGACCCUAUAAAACUUUAUAAAUUUAAUUUUUUUAAAUUUUUGGUUAAAUAAUUAAUUUAAAAUUUUAAAUUUAUUUUAUUGGGGUGAUAAAAAAAAUAAUUAACUUUUUUUAAAUAUUAACAUUAAUUAAUGAUUUUUUGAAUUAAAAUUUUUAAUUAUAAGAGAAAGUUACUUUAGGGAUAACAGCGUAAUUAAUUUUUUAAGUUCAAAUUUGAAAAUUAGAUUGCGACCUCGAUGUUGAAUUAAGAUUAAUCUUAGGUGCAAAAUUUUAAGUUUUAGGUCUGUUCGACCUUUAAAUUCUUACAUGAUUUGAGUUCAAACCGGUGUAAGCCAGGUUGGUUUCUAUCUUUAAAAUUUUAUUUUAUUUUAGUACGAAAGGAUUAAGUAAAAAAAUUAAAUUUUUUUAAAAAA